rnacentral:rRNA from 1 species
UACGUAGGGGGCUAGCGUUGUCCGGAAUCAUUGGGCGUAAAGCGCGUGUAGGCGGCCCGGUAAGUCCGCUGUGAAAGUCGGGGGCUCAACCCUCGGAUGCCGGUGGAUACUGUCGGGCUAGAGUACGGAAGAGGCGAGUGGAAUUCCUGGUGUAGCGGUGAAAUGCGCAGAUAUCAGGAAGAACACCAAUUGCGAAGGCAGCUCGCUGGGACGUCACUGACGCUGAGGAGCGAAAGCGUGGGGAGCGAACAGG